UGAGUGAUAGAAAAGACCAGAGAAGUUGGUAUUUUCCUGGAGAGGAGGAGGAGAGAAGACUUUUAAGACCAGCAGAACCUCUCUUCAUCUCAGGAAGCAUGCCACCCGUGCCUGCAAGGGUACAAGCAGAGACAUAUGAGUGCUUAAUUAAUUUUGACAACCUGGUGAUGGCUGGAGAACACUCUGGAGGCCGAAAGAGCCAUCUGUCAUGUGAGCUCAACAGCAAGCUAACCCCACCUGAUGGGAUGGGGCUGGAGGCAACAGAGGGCUGCCAAGCCUCCAGCCCCCUGGGAAGAAGCAUGCAUUGUCUCUCAAGAGGUUAGGAACCCCUUCUUUCCACUGGGCUUCCCCACAUUUAUCUCACACAACUCACCAAGCUGGAAUUUGACCUCUGCAGCCCUAAUCCCUUUUCCAUGUGAUUCUUCUGAGAUAUGGCUUCCACAGAGCAUUCCCAAGGCCAAUCAUGCUGUCCUGUGACUCUAACAAAGAAGCCCCAACAAGGAAAUCAAGGGAACUGCGUGAGAAACAUGGAGGGCCUCCACAAGCCUAUACCAUCCAUGGGUCACAGGUGCAGUUAUCCAAAUGAAAAGACGUUUGGUGAAAAUCAAGGAGCAAUGUUCUGGUUGCACAUGGUAAAUCGGAUCUCUCCCCAAAGUCAGCUUGAAACUGUAGGACUCAUCCUGACCAACCUCCCAGAUUUCACCACGGCAGUGUUGGGAGUCUGCUUAGAAUCAUAAGAGUUAGUGACAAUUUAAAUAUUCUGCAUAUUUUGGCAGAGGGUGUAAUUAAUGCUGAUAUUA